rnacentral:rRNA from 1 species
GUACACUCCUACGGGAGGCAGCAGUGGGGAAUUUUGGACAAUGGGCGAAAGCCUGAUCCAGCAAUGCCGCGUGUGUGAAGAAGGCCUUCGGGUUGUAAAGCACUUUUGUCCGGAAAGAAAUCCUUGGCUCUAAUACAGUCGGGGGAUGACGGUACCGGAAGAAUAAGCACCGGCUAACUACGUGCCAGCAGCCGCGGUAAUACGUAGGGUGCGAGCGUUAAUCGGAAUUACUGGGCGUAAAGCGUGCGCAGGCGGUUUGCUAAGACCGAUGUGAAAUCCCCGGGCUCAACCUGGGAACUGCAUUGGUGACUGGCAGGCUAGAGUAUGGCAGAGGGGGGUAGAAUUCCACGUGUAGCAGUGAAAUGCGUAGAGAUGUGGAGGAAUACCGAUGGCGAAGGCAGCCCCCUGGGCCAAUACUGACGCUCAUGCACGAAAGCGUGGGGAGCAAACAGGAUUAGAUACCCUUGUAGUCC